rnacentral:rRNA from 1 species
GCAUCUUAGAACUUGGUCCAUCCAAAUGGAUGUGAACUAGGAUUCUAGACUAAAUAUUACAAGUUUUCUAUAUGUUACCUUAAUUGGUUGCAUAUAGUAGCUAGUAAGUUUACCUUGAAAAAAUUAGAGUGCUCAAUGCGGGCUUAAUGCCUGAAUACUCGUGCAUGGAAUAAUAAAAUAGGAUCUUGGUUCUAUUUUGUUGGUUUUCUGAUCUAAGAUAAUGGUUAAGAGGGACGGACGGGGGCAUUCGUAUCGCUACGUGAGAGGUGAAAUUCUUGGACCGUAGCGAGACGUACAACUGCGAAAGCAUUUGCCAAGAAUGUCUUCAUUAAUCAAGAACGAAAGUCAGAGGUUCGAAGGCGAUCAGAUACCGCCCUAGUUCUGAC